rnacentral:tRNA from 1 species
GCGGACGUGGCGAAACUGGUAGACGCAAGGGACUUAAAAUCCCUCGACCUUUGGUUGUACGGGUUCGACCCCCGUCGUCCGCA